GGGGUCGUGGGCUAGCAUGGAAUGCUGCCAGGCUUGGGCCCUGGUGAUCGUGGGUUCAAAUCCCACCGACCCCACCA
rnacentral:tRNA from 1 species